rnacentral:rRNA from 1 species
UACGGGGGGGGCAAGCGUUGUUCGGAAUUACUGGGCGUAAAGGGCUCGUAGGCGGCCAACUAAGUCAGACGUGAAAUCCCUCGGCUUAACCGGGGAACUGCGUCUGAUACUGGAUGGCUAGAGGUUGGGAGAGGGAUGCGGAAUUCCAGGUGUAGCGGUGAAAUGCGCAGAUAUCAGGAGGAACACCGAUGGCGAAGGCAGAUCUCUGGGCCGUAACUGGCGCUGAGGAGCGAAAGCAUGGGGAGCGAACAGG